AUAUAAUAUAAAAUGAUCAAAAUGUAUUAUAUUUGUUAUAUACAAAGGUAAAAAAAAAAAAACAUGACAACAACUCUCAAAUUUAAUUAUGUUGUGAUUUUAUUUCUUUUUCUAUUUUUAAUUGCAAAGGAGGUUGAAGCACAAAUUGGAUGUAAAACAGAUGAUGAUUGUCCAAAAAUUCCCCACUUGUUUCCUUCAAUUUAUAGGUGCAUUUACAAUAAAUGUAUAAUCGGUACAUCGAUUCCAAUAAAGAAUCAUAAAUAAAAGACUAAAUUAAUUUUUCUCUUGAGCAAGAGUGUAUUUAUUCAUUUCUUCUAAGAAGAAAUUAUUAGUUCUAAGUUAAAAAGUAUUAAAUUUCAAUCCUAGAGCAAUUGGAAAUUCGCAAUCUUUAAAUCAAAUUAUAAGCAAAUUUUCUAGUAGUAUUUGUUCUCAUGAUUUAAAAGUCGUUAACACUGGUUUUUCUAAUUAGCUACAUAUGGUAUUUUUUUAUUGAUUUUUUAAUAGCAUAUUAUUCCUCCAUUUAUUUGUCUACGACGAGUUCUUCCGAGGUAGUUUGGCUUGUGAAAACAUUAGUUCUAUUAAAUUUUUAAAAUGGGUUAAGGUGUUACCCUUUUUAAAAGAUUUUUUUUAUUAUUAAUACAUUUAUUUAAGAGAGUGUUAUAGAUACGACUUUUGGUGUGACAAAGUUCUAAGGUAGUUGAGAUGCCUUUUAAUUACUCUCAUCAUUUUAAAAUAACGGUCGUUUUAAAGAAAAAAUUAUUUUAAAAUGAAUGUCAUUUUCAUUUUUCAAUGGAGAAAUAUUAUAAAAGUACAAGGUUACUCUACACACUACUUUCUGUACAUUAAUAAGGUUAAUUUAGUAAAAGUAUAAUAUUUUAUGACACUAUUAUUAUAUUUCUUAAUCUAUAUGCAAGAACUUUAAACGAGAGUCAUUUUAAAAUGGAGAGAAUAUAACGAUCGCUUUUCACUUAUAUAUUUUAAAAGCAAACAAUUUUAAAAAAUAUUUUUGUUGGUAAUAUAUACCUAUCAUUAAUAUUUUUUAGAAAAAAUUAACUUAGGAAUUUUCAAAACGAUCAAUGAGAUGCCUUAUCCUUUAAUAUCAAAGUGUGACUCCAAUUAGAGGUGGAUAACAGACAUGUCAAUUUCGUUUAGAUUCAUUUCACAAAAGCAUGUAAAAAACACAAGGUGGAGUAGAACAAACAUAGUCGAGGUUGUGAGCCUUGUUAAGAAAUGUGAUUGAGCUUAACUUAACUCUACAAAACUGAUUUUAAGGGUGAGGAUCGUCCGCACUAAUAAGGACAUGUUUAUGCCAUAUAGUGUCCGACGUGAGAUUCUUAACACAUUCCCUCACAUUCAGAAUUGGAAAUAUGGAGCAUAGAAAUAAAUGAUGGGAGGUCCAAUAACCAAACAGUAGAUGGUUCACCGAAUUUUAAAUGAAGCUCUUGAUAUCAUCUUAAAAAAUGUGAUUGAGUCUAACUUAAUCCUAUAAAACCGACUUUAAGGCUGAAGAUUGGCCCCAUUUAUAAGAACAUGAUUUAAAAUAAUAAAUUAUUACCCCUUUCUAUUACAAAAAGUUAAAACAUUAGUUAAUAAAUAUUGAGUUAUGAUGAUUAUAAAAAAAUUUAUUUUACCCUUUCAUCAAGAAUAUCGGAGAGACAAAUCUUAUUAGAAUUCUUUAACAUUAUAUGAGCUUUAUAUAAUAUGAAGUUACAUACAAUACAAAGAGAAAAAAAUAUGACUACAACUCUCAAGUUUAUUUAUGUUGUGAUUUUAUUUCUUUUUCUAUUUUUCAUCACAAAGGAGGUUGAUGCACUAAUUGGAUGUAAAACAGUUGAUGAUUGUCCAAAAAUUCCCCAUUUGUUUCCUGCAAUUUAUAGGUGCAUUUACAACGAAUGUAUAUUUUAUGAUAGGGUACACAAAUGCCAUACAGAGAAAACAAUCUAGAAUAUUAUAUGAAUGGAAAUAUAUGAUGUUGUCUAUGUUUGGUUUCAAGUUUGAGGCAUCCAGAAUUGAUUCUAGACGCCUAGAAUUGAUUUUGACGUGUUUGGUUGAUCUCGAGCAGAAGUGAUUAUGCUUUCAAGAAUUGAUUCUACUUGAAAUAAGAUAUGAAAGAAUAAAUUUAGAUUGGAACUGUUUUAUUUUCUCUUAAUUUUGAAUGUAUCCCCGUGGCCUUCAAUUUAAGCAUAUCAUUAAUAUUUAAACAUAAUUGGAAUAUAUUUAAUAUUUAAGUUUGAAAAAAAUUAUUUAGUUUCGGAGUCUUUUAUUGUUGUUUAAUUUCUCAAUAUUGUUUCAGACAGUAAUGGUUUGUCAAGAAAAGGCAAGGGUUGGUCAUAUCAGCCUCGGAUGUCGAAUGCUUUAUUAUUUAUCUUUAGAAGGGCUUAAGAAAAACAUUUUUGUUUCAUGGGGAUUCGCGCCUUUAAUGCCACAUACUUCAAAUAUCUUUUUGAUGGUACCAUCAUUAUAAUCGUUAGGAAUUGAAACACUCAACUUUUCGUACGAGUGAUUUGACAUGUUUGAUAGAGUAUACUUCCUUUUGCAUGCUAGAGCACAGUUCUUGAAGAGUCAGCGUUGUCUUUCUUUGAUUCAUUUCUCCAAACAUGUGGUUAUCCCAUUUCCUUUUCAAUAUUUUCUUCUCUCACGUCUGGAAGUUAGUGCAUUAUGGGUAAAAAAUCGCAUAAGAGUGCUCACAAACCACUGAAGACUGCUCAAUCUUCUUGACUGGGUUCUAACUAUUCUUCUA